ensembl:lncRNA
UCCUCUCUUCUCCCCGCCUCGCCCGCCCUCGCCCUGUCUCCGGAGACCCCCCUUCCCUCGCCCGCCCUCGCCCUCGGGGCUCCGUCCACCCUGGGGCCGGGCUGCCGAGCCAGAGUCCCCGAGUUGGACGGGCCUUUCUGACCCCCAUUUUCUCUCUCUUCUGCGUGUCCCGGACCCUGGACACCGCCUGAAGGGCCCGGGCCGGCCCCGGGUCCAAGGAAGGGAAGCAAGGCGCAGGCUCAGAGGCAGGGAGCACAGUGCCCAGAGGCACACAGCACCGAGAAGCACCGCAGCGCAGGGAGGACCUCGCCCGACCCCCACUUCGCCGAUAAGAAACCAGGCGCCUCGCGGUCCCGAGGACCAGCAUCCGCCGGGACAGAGGCUUCGCGGGAGCCCCGACCUUGGCCAAGGACCGCCAGCGCCCCCUGCAGGGAACCGCACGGACCUGCAGGAGCAGCGUUCUCAGCCCGGCUGGGCUUCCGUCGCCACCUACUGGCAAGGGAGGAAACUGCAGCCGAGCUCCCGCAGACCCGGGAUCGUGCACAGGAGAGAGAGGCCCCUGCCUGGGGCUGGGGAGAGGCUGCUGGUGGGAGAAGGGGACAGGCAGGAUCUGCAAAAUUCUGGAAACAUUAAAGAUUGUCCCUUAACCAGUACGUAAGCCCGGUACUCGGCAAGUUGCUUGGUCGCCGGCGUAAACCUCCAGCUGCGCGAGCGUUUGCUGUCGAGCUCCGCUCUCCCGCCGCCCUAGAAACGCGGUGACCGCUGUGGGAAAGGGCGAGUGGGAUAUGGUUUCAAAACUUGCUGCCCUGGAGCCUACCAGUAGGAGUGGGGCCACGCUGAGUUUCCCUUCAGAAAUGGAGGGUGGGUGCAAGCAGAGGUAAAGGGCUGACAGGCCCCAAGCCUCGCCGAGUCUCCCCUAGGACGCCUAACACAGAAAACUCUAGAAUUGUUUCCAGGAGCUACCUGCUGCAACACACAAUUCGGAGUGGUAAACAUUCUUUAAAGCCUUGCUCAGUGGGUUAAGGAUCCAGCAUUGCUGUGAGCUGUGGUGUGGGCUGCAGAUGUGGCUCAGACCCCGUGUUACUGUGGCUGUGGCUCCAGUUCCACACUAGCCUGGGAACCUCCAUAUGCCACAGGUAAGACCCUAAAAAAAAAAAAAAAAGGUAAAAGGUUGCUUAUCAAGUAACUAUUUUAAAAAUUUUUAUUCUGGCCACAACCACGGCAUGCAGACGUUCCCAGGCCAGGGAUCCAACCUGAGCCACAGGGGUUCCUUUUGUGGCUCAGCGGUAAUGAACACGACUAGCAUCCAUGAGGACACGGGUUCAGUCCCUGGCCUUGCUCAGUGGGUUAAGGAUCGGCGCUGCAAUGAGCUGUGCUGUAGGUCACAGAUGCUUCUCGGAUCCUGAGUGGCUGUGGUGUAGACUGGCAGCUCCAAUUCGACCCCUAGCCUGGGAACUUCCAUAUGCUACAGGUGCAGCCCUAAAAAGCAAAACAAACAAAAAAGAACCCUGAACCACAGCAGUGACAACUCGGAUCCUUAACUCCGAGCCACCAGAGACUGUUUUAAAUAUACCCAAAUGACAACAAGGAACCCUAGGUUUGCAGAGGGGAGGUUCCUCAGUGCCACAGAACAGGUGACAUUCUGUGGGGCAAAGAAGGGCAUCCAAGGGGAGGGGCAGGACCUGAGCGUUUACCUGGCAGGGGCUCUCCUG